GUUUACUUAUGCACCAAUGUAUUAUUGCACUUAAAUAAAAAGCUGUAGCAGUUAGCCUAUGUGAUUAGUUCAUGUGUUAACAUGUUGAUAUUUUCAGCAUGUAUAUCGAUAGAUAAAACACUAACAUUAACUUUUUAAUUUUUCUGCUAAUUCCUAAUUUUUGAAGAGAUUUCUUUUAAUAGAACUAUAAUGCUUCCUUCUGUGUUAAAAAUCUUUGACUUCUGGAUUUGCUAUUACUCAGAUAUUUUGGAAGAACUACUCCAAACUAAAUAAUUAAGACAGUUUUCUAAAAUUAAAUAUUGAUAUAUUCAGAAGAUUUUAGAUUUCCAAAAAUGUUUUAAAUGAUGACUUGAAGUAGUUACUGCUAUUUCAGCAUAAGCACCUUCUAGUAUGAUGUUGGCUAUAGAAUUUCCUAGACUGCUUUCUACCCUCACAGUAUUUAUACAACCAUGUAGUUCUCUAUCAACUGAGCAAGGGACUACUUCUAAAAGGUGACAUAUAAUAAGAUUUUCAAUAUACUUAUUUACAACAAACUUUCCUUAACUCUAGAGAUCUGUUUUAAAACACAGAUUAGUCUUGUAAUUUUCAGCAGAAAAACAAAAACAUGAAAAAUAUGUAUUAUCUCUUUAGUCCCAUAAAUCUGAAUAAACAUAUCAUCAUUAGUUUUGCCCUUAAUUAGUGCGAAUACGUCUUAAGCCACCUAGAUUAUGGUCAUACUUUUGAGAAGUUUAUCACCAGCAAAGCCACAAAAUACAUCACUCAAGUUUAUCUAAUAUGGGGAAAUUCCAGUCUAGCAUUUCUUUUACUGCAUCCUAUAUGCCUGUUUUGCAGAUAAUAAUAGUAGACGGUAGAUGAAAACCUGCUGUAAGAGGAUAAACCCAAGGCAUUUCCCCAAGAGUAAAAAAUAAAGUUUUAUCCAUUGUUGUGCUUAGAAAGAAAGACUGAUUGGAUGGCAAGAGACAACUUUGAAGGUGAACGAACUAGGGGAGUUUUUCUCAUGCAGGGAACCAGUUUAGUCCUGCAAAGCAUAUAUGGAAUUUUACUUGUGAGCUUUGAAAAGUCAAAAUCACCCAUUUUUUUAUUAUUUUUUUUUUUGCUUCAUGCUUCCUCUUCAGAAGGAAGAAAGAAUUCUUCAUUUCUGCAGUUUGAAGAUUUUCUCUGCUAACAUCUGGGUUAUUAAAGAAGGCUCCCCCCCCCAAAUAAAAGAAGUGCUGAUGGCUU
rnacentral:lncRNA from 1 species